GAUGAAGAACGUAGCGAAAUGCGAUAAGUAAUGUGAAUUGCAGAAUUCAGUGAAUCAUCGAAUCUUUGAACGCACAUUGCGCCCCUCGGUAUUCCGAGGGGCAUGCCUGUUCGAGCGUCAUUUCAACCCCUCAAGCUUAGCUUGGUGUUGGGCUGCGCCAGCGUUGCUGGCGGGCCUUAAAAUCAGUGGCGGUGCCGUUUGGGCUCCAAGCGUAGUUGCAUCUCUCGCUCUGGAGACCCGGCGGUUGCUUGCCAGACAAUCACUAAAAAAACAAAAGGUUUGACCUCGGAUCAGGUAGGGAUACCCGCUGAACUUAAGCAUAUCAAUAAGCGGAGGA
rnacentral:misc_RNA from 1 species